UCUAUCAAAUUUUCACCGAACUUGUACCCAAUAAAUAAAUAUUGGUAAAAUAGAUAGCUAUUGAUAAAUGUUUACUAUAAUUGGUAGUUACUUUUAGUAUUCUAUUUAUAGUGUUUCACUUUUAACUAACUUUUGAAGGAUAAAGAAUUUUACACCACAUGUGUAAUUGCAUACGAACUGCUAUAUCGACGCAUACCUUUCUACACAGUUGGCAUCCAACAGCAACCCGUGUACGUUCAUUUCGUUUGAACAUUGAUUCAUCACCCAACAAAGCGGCGAAAAGAAGACAAAAACGCUAAGCAGUUUGUAAAUUUUUCACGAUCCUUUCUGUAUUUACCUUGUUUCUCAACUAAAAGAAAUUACAAAGGUUGUGUUUUUUGUUUCUGCGAUAAAUAAAAUACGCACAACAGAAAAACAAUACAAAGUGUUGUGAUUUUUAAGAAAUACAAAGCAAUUGACGCACAAAGUUCGUAAGAACAACAAAAUUAAAAAAAUAUGGAGAACCCAAAUGAAUUUCCUGCACCAUCUGGAUCAACUGAUUUUCCUGUUUUACCCCCGCCUCCGAACUCUGCCAGUCCCAGCAACAAUAAUCAAGCGCAGAAGCGACUGCAACAAACCCAAGCCAAGGUCGAUGAAGUGGUCGGUAUUAUGCGUGUGAAUGUGGAAAAAGUUCUGGAGCGCGAUCAGAAACUAUCGGAAUUGGGUGAACGUGCUGAUGCGCUGGAAGCCGGUGCCUCACAAUUCGAACAGCAAGCUGGCAAAUUGAAACGCAAACAAUGGUGGGCUAACAUGAAAAUGAUGAUCAUUAUGGGUGUUAUCGGUGUGGUUCUCUUAAUUAUCAUAAUCGUUAUGCUCUUUUAUUAACCGGUACCAAUUAUCAGUUGACGAUCAACAUUUAAAUACAUAUAUAUUGAACAUGUUCUCUAUAAGUGUUUGUUUGUAUCUAAAUAUGUAUGUGUUUAGUGCUUUCAGUUUCUUUAAUUUAAAAAUAAAAAGGGGUAAAUAAAUUUUUAAGUAGGAAAAGUAAUAAAAGUUUGCACCGCCGCAUUACGUCUGAAAGCCAUUUUGUUCAAAAUUAUCCUUCCUGCCAUCCGGUGGUAGCAGCAAUGAAUCACAUAACCAAAUUCAAAACACGCCAGGAAAUUAAAAAGCUCAGACCGCAGUGGCCUUACGAUGAUUCCUUGUUGUUUUGAUUGAAAGCAUUAGUCGUGCUUUACAAAACGCACAAAAUGCCAACGCACAAUCAAUAAGCAUUGGAUCGUUUCUUUAAUACAGCUCUAACUGAAUGUCUUUAAACAGUAUACAAAAAAAAAAACAUAUAUAUAUAUAUAUAUACAUAAAUCAUUAUACAUAUAUACAAGUACUUGUAAUAUACAAAAUGUAUGCCUUACAUAUACAACGGAUAUCUGAAUGAAAUUGUAAUUUGAAAUGUAAAACAAAACAAAGUAUUGGUUUAAUUUUGUGUUUGUUUAAUUGUUUUGUAAUAUAAAAACGUUUGUCGUACUCUUAAUUGUUAAAAAGCCGAAAAUCCAUUUGACAUUUUUACAUAUUCAAUAUAUUAAAACGAUUUGUAAAACUAUAUUGCUGUUAUAUGCAUAAACAGAGCAUACAUACAUAUAUAUCUAUAUGCAUGUAUAUUUACAUAAACAAAAUUCUUUAAUGCUGAUUUUAGCGUUUUCGAAGUAUUUACACAAUAUACAUAUUCUAACGGUGUAUGAGAGAAACAAAAAAUAACUAUUUACAAAAUGUAAACUAUACACAUACAAAAUAAAUUAAGCAACAUUUUGGAAAACAUUAAA